UGAGUUUAAAGGUGAUGAUGUGCAUUUC
rnacentral:piRNA from 2 species